AGCGAGCGGCGGAUGGGUGAGUAACACGUGGGGAACCUGCCCCUAAGUCUGGGAUACCAUUUGGAAACAGGUGCUAAUACCGGAUAAUAAAGCAGAUCGCAUGAUCAGCUUUUGAAAGGCGGCGUAAGCUGUCGCUAAGGGAUGGCCCCGCGGUGCAUUAGCUAGUUGGUAAGGUAACGGCUUACCAAGGCGACGAUGCAUAGCCGAGUUGAGAGACUGAUCGGCCACAUUGGGACUGAGACACGGCCCAAACUCCUACGGGAGGCAGCAGUAGGGAAUCUUCCACAAUGGACGCAAGUCUGAUGGAGCAACGCCGCGUGAGUGAAGAAGGUUUUCGGAUCGUAAAGCUCUGUUGUUGGUGAAGAAGGAUAGAGGUAGUAACUGGCCUUUAUUUGACGGUAAUCAACCAGAAAGUCACGGCUAACUACGUGCCAGCAGCCGCGGUAAUACGUAGGUGGCAAGCGUUGUCCGGAUUUAUUGGGCGUAAAGCGAGCGCAGGCGGAAAAAUAAGUCUAAUGUGAAAGCCCUCGGCUUAACCGAGGAACUGCAUCGGAAACUGUUUUUCUUGAGUGCAGAAGAGGAGAGUGGAACUCCAUGUGUAGCGGUGGAAUGCGUAGAUAUAUGGAAGAACACCAGUGGCGAAGGCGGCUCUCUGGUCUGCAACUGACGCUGAGGCUCGAAAGCAUGGGUAGCGAACAGGAUUAGAUACCCUGGUAGUCCAUGCCGUAAACGAUGAGUGCUAAGUGUUGGGAGGUUUCCGCCUCUCAGUGCUGCAGCUAACGCAUUAAGCACUCCGCCUGGGGAGUACGACCCGCAAGGUUGAAACUCAAAGGAAUUGACGGGGGCCCCGCACAAGCGGUGGAACCAUGUGGUUUAAUUCGAA
rnacentral:rRNA from 1 species